rnacentral:rRNA from 1 species
AUUGAACGCUGGCGGCAUGCCUUACACAUGCAAGUCGAACGGUAACAGGUCUUCGGAUGCUGACGAGUGGCGAACGGGUGAGUAAUACAUCGGAACGUGCCCGAUCGUGGGGGAUAACGGAGCGAAAGCUUUGCUAAUACCGCAUACGAUCUACGGAUGAAAGCGGGGGAUCUUCGGACCUCGCGCGGACGGAGCGGCCGAUGGCAGAUUAGGUAGUUGGUGGGAUAAAAGCUUACCAAGCCGACGAUCUGUAGCUGGUCUGAGAGGAUGAUCAGCCACACUGGGACUGAGACACGGCCCAGACUCCUACGGGAGGCAGCAGUGGGGAAUCUUAGACAAUGGGCGCAAGCCUGAUCUAGCCAUGCCGCGUGAGCGAUGAAGGCCUUAGGGUUGUAAAGCUUUU